GAAUAGUCGCGUAUAGCAAGGUCGAAAGACAGCGUACGAGGAAAGUCCGGGCUCCAUAGAGCAAUGAUGCUGGAUAACGUCCAGUGAGGGAAACCUUAAGGAAAGUGCAACAGAAAAUAACCGCCAACUUGUUUGGUAAGGGUGAAAAGGUGAGGUAAGAGCUCACCGCCAAUAUGGUGACAUAUUGGGUCUGUGUAAACCCCAUCAGGAGCAACACCGAGACAAGAAGGUUAAUGGCUGCUCGUCAGUCUUCUUAAUUUGGUGGCAUGAGGCAUAUAGCAAUAUAUGUCCUAGAUAGAUGACUAUUCAAGACAGAACCCGGCUUAUAGAUUUACUG
rnacentral:RNase_P_RNA from 1 species